UGUUUUGCAUGUCUGCGAGUGCUUUUGAUUUUAAGUAUAAUUAAGAAAUGUACAUUGUUUUGUUUUUUUUUUUAUUUCAAAAGAGCUGAAUGGGCACCGUGCAAAGUACGCAGUGGGAGGGGCUCAGUUGUCUGAAUUACAUUAAUUUCUCAGCUUGGAAGCACCCUGCGGAAGAGAAGUGAAAACAACAGCAGAACCUGCCAUCUUAUUGUAACUGCUGUAUGCCUUUGGAAAUGAAAAUAUUUGCCCACCAGUGUCACUGGAAUUAUAAACUAUUUUAAAGUGCAAAGUGGCAUUUUAGCCAUGAAUAGGCCACUUGAGGGCUGUGACAAGAAAGAAGAGUUUUCCAAAAAUGGAGAAAAUUACACAAAAAUGACAUGUUUCUGG